GAAAUUUUAAGUCUUCGGGGGGAAAAACACUAAAAUGUGGUGAGAAGCACACAGAAUAGACAUGAUCUUGGUAAGAAAAUCGUGAAAUAAGUCAGUUCUUCCUAUUACAUGGGAAGUGACCAGGUUAAGGGUGCUGAUGGGUGUCCUGUCAUUGCUCGAUUGUGACUUUGCUUCUUCAUAUGAUGUGAUAAAAGAUGGAGCUCACAAAGGUUUAUUCUUAACAAUGUAUGAGGUA
rnacentral:misc_RNA from 1 species